AAUCGAACCCGGAGAUAGCUGGUUCUCCUCGAAAUAGCUUUAGGGCUAGCCUCAUGGAUCAUUGAUGGGGGUAGAGCACUGAAUGUGCGCGGGGGCCACAAAGCCUACCAAACGCUAUCAAACUUCGAAUACCAUACAAUGCAGACCAUGGGAGUCAGUCCGCGAGAGAUAAGUUCCGCGGGCAAAAGGGGAACACCCCAGAUCAACCGCUAAGGUCCCCAAGUUCACGUUAAGUGGAGAAGGAUGUGGAAUUGCACAGACAACCAGGAUGUUGGCUCAGAAGCAGCCACACAUUUAAAGAGUGCGUAAUAGCUCACUGGUCGAGUGAUUGUGCGCCGAAGAUGUCCGGGGCUAAACGUGACACCGAAGCGAUGGGUGCAUCUGAAGAAGAUGCGCGGUAGAGGAGCAAUGUGCAGAGGCAGAAGCCGUAUCGAGAGGCACGGUGGACACUGCACAAGAGAGAAUGCCGGUAUGAGUAGCGAGAGGCAUGCGAGAAACAUGCCCGUCGAAAGCCCAAGGUUUCCUGGGGAAGGUUCAUCCGCCCAGGGUAAGUCGGGGCCUAAGCCGAGGACGGAAGUCGUAGGCGAUGGACAGCAGGUGUAGAUUCCUGCACUACCGAUGGAAUGAAGCAGUGACACAGAAGGAUAACUCGAGCAGGGUGAUGGUCAACCCUGUGCAAGCAUCAAGGUUGGGUUGUAGUGAAGUACGCAAUCCUAUAAGCUGAGAUGUGAUGCGGACCGAAAUUUCAGUAGGGAAGCGAGUGAGUUCACGCUGGCGAGAAAAGCUGCUAGUACAUCCAAAGGUACCCGUACCGGAAACCGACGCAGGUGGGCGAGGAGAGAAUCCUGAGACGAACGGGAGAACCCUUGUUAAGGAACUCGGCAAAAUGACCCCGUAACUUCGGGAUAAGGGGUGCCUGCGAGAGCAGGCCGCAGAGAAUAGUCACAAGCGACUGUUUAGCAAAAACACAGGUAUCUGCGAAAGCGAGAGCUGACGUAUAGGUGCUGACACCUGCCCGGUGCUGGAAGGUUAAGGGAACAUGUUAGAGCAAUCGAAGCAUCGAACCGAAGCCCCAGUAAACGGCGGCCGUAACUAUAACGGUCCUAAGGUAGCGAAAUUCCUUGUCGGGUAAGUUCCGACCCGCACGAAUGGUGUAACGACUUGUGAGCUGUCUCAACAGGGGGCCCGGUGAAAUUGAAGUAUGGGUGAAGAUGCCCAUUACCCGCGACUGGACGGAAAGACCCCGUAGAGCUUUACUGCAGCCUGAUAUUGAGUUUCGGUAACUGAUGCACAGGAUAGGUGGGAGUCUGAGAGACAUGGGUUUCGGCUCGUGUGGAGACGGUGUUGGGAUACCACUCUUCGGUUACUGAAAUUCUAACAUAGCUCUGUGAAACCAGAGGAUGGACAGUGUCAGGUGGACAGUUUGACUGGGGCGGUCGCCUCCGAAAGAGUAACGGAGGCGCCCAAAGGUACCCUCAGAAUGGAUGGAAACCAUUCGAAGAGCGCAAAGGCAGAAGGGUGCCUGACUGCGAGAUUGACAAAUCGAGCAGAGACGAAAGUCGGGCUUAGUGAUCCGGCGGUAUUGAGUGGAAAAGCCGUCGCUUAACGGAUAAAAGCUACCUCGGGGAUAACAGGCUGAUCUCCCCCAAGAGUCCACAUCGACGGGGAGGUUUGGCACCUCGAUGUCGGCUCGUCGCAUCCUGGGGCUGAAGCAGGUCCCAAGGGUUUGGCUGUUCGCCAAUUAAAGCGGCACGCGAGCUGGGUUCAGAACGUCGUGAGACAGUUCGGUCCCUAUCCAUCGUGGGCGUAGGAGUCAUGAGAGGAGCUGUUCCUAGUACGAGAGGACCGGAAUGGACGCACCACUGGUGCAACUGUUGUCGUGCCAACGGCAUAGCAGGGAAGCGAAGUGCGGAUGGGAUAAACGCUGAAGGCAUCUAAGCGUGAAGCCCACCUCAAGAAUAAGACUCCACAAUAGACCCCUGGAGGACUACCAGGUAGAUAGGUCAUCGGUGGAAGCGCUGUAAGGCGUGU
rnacentral:rRNA from 1 species